ACAGAUGCAGGCAGGGAGCGGGAGGAGGGAAUGGGAAUGAGCUGAGCAGCAGCAUCACAGCUGGAGGGCUGGACAUGGAUGACCAGCUCCUCACUUUCAGGUGUUUCCACAUCAAGCAUCCUGCAGACAGCUAACAAGUUCAUUCUACAAAGUACAGUUCUCACCACUUUAUCCUUCCUCUGCUCCGAAACAGUCAAUGGUUUCCCACUGUCCACAGGGGAUGCUUAACGCAUGUGGGUUAUUCAGCUAGAAAGACAAGGACCCCCAGUCUAGGAGGGCACCUGACCUGAAGGGCUGGGGUAACCAAACCACCUGAGACCGAGAAAGACGUGGAAACUACAGAUGUCAUCUUUCCUGGUCUUGGCAAGGCCCUGCACGUCCCCAUUUUCACCUACAAUGAGACUCCGAGACAGGCGGCCUGACUUGCUCAAAGACGCACAACCUCUUUGGUCUCUGCCUCUUUUCAUGGCACAGACACCAAAAGCAGGUGCAGAACCAGGGCGACAAAAGUGAGGCCACUGGGAAGGGAAGUAAGAAGGACUGGGACAUGAUGCAAAGGCCCUACAGGCUCCCACUUUACGAUGGGCCUACAAAUGACACUGAAGUUGGCGCAGCACACAGGACUUUCUCUGGGCAAGCAAAAAGAAAAACCAUGACUUGGUGUACACUGAAGGGGAGAAGGAAGAGGGGAACUUAUCUGCCUGGCUUUCUCCCUUCUCCUAUUCCCAUUGUUCAGUGUGACUACAACACACUCUGGGCUGCAUCAAAGAAGGUACAUUUGGGAUGUCACAUCAAAGCACAAGUUCCUACUUAGGUAUUUAGCUUUGAGAAAAGAGAGCUAAAACAAACCACAGAGUAUGAAAUGUGCUGAUUUGGUUUUUAGCCCUAGGAAUCUGUACUAAGCCAGAGUUGAGUAUGCAGCAACAACAAAACCCAAAUGCACAUAUGAGAGAGAGACUCGGUCACCCACGUGUCUGCCAUGGAGCCACUGAAGCUGGAGCGAGGCGCAGAGCUCAGUCACUCCUGCCUCCCCAAGGAUGUCUGCCAUACCUUCUCCCUUCCUGGCGCCUCUGCCCCCCUGCACAUUCACACAGCCACCCAUGGCCACAGGUCCACGGCAGAAAGCACUCUCACAUACACCCGUCAUGUGCACCCAACUGGCAGCUAUGUAUAAGGAGGAAAACAGGUCUGGCUUUAUACAUGCUUGGGGUGGAUUCUCUCUCCUUCCAGCACCUUUAUCCCUUGCCACAUAUUUCCUUCAACAUACUCUAAAGGGUUGGCUGUGUCUUGUGAGCUGA